UACACAUACCCAUGAUAAAAAGGUAUAUAUAAAUGUAAAAAAUGUUUAGUGUGAUUCCACAUCUUAACCUCAAUUGUUUCAGAUUUCAUUUCCAGAGCUGGAAUCAUGUAUGCCUCUGCUGAUGAAGAAACUGGCAAACAAUUAAGGUCUAAUAUGUUUUCAUUAAGUGGCGCUGGAUUUUUUGGAGCUGUUGGUCGCAGCUUAAACUUGGGUGGUCAAACUGCUUUAGCAUUAAGACUUCUUCUUGCUGCUUUUUCAUCAAAGAUCUCUUCAGAUAUUAACCGUCCUUUUGGUGAUGAGGUACUUUCUAAUCUAUUCUAUCCAAAUAUCAAAUAUCUCUACCACAUUAAUUUACAAUUCCUUUAUACAAAAUCACUGUAUAUAUAUUCAUGCAGUAGUUUAGUUCAAAUAAACAACAAUAACAACAAUAAAACAGUGAUAUAGAGUUCACUUCAGAUUAUAUGUACAAUAAUCUAGGCACAACAGAAUUAAUUCUAGGCACAACAGAAUUAAUUGUGAACAUACAUCAAAUGAAUAUUCUCAAGCUAUGUUGUUAAAGUAUAAGCAAGUUAUUUUCUGUAUUCAUGUUUUAUUGAGUUGUUUCUUAGUUUUACCAAGUGCAUCAGUUAAAUCAACACAAACACAGAACUCAUCAACAACAUUCUGUGAAUUCAGUGAAAUUCCAACCGAGGUAUGUUUUGAAUAUAAACAAAGUGAUUUCGUUACCAAUAGUGCAUUAUCUUUACAUGCAGAAGCGAAUGAACAUGAGAAUGUUUUUGGUUCUUCAAGAGCUUUAGAGUUUAGUGGUGACCUGGAUAUAAAGAUAAAUAAAUCAAAUGUUCAACAUAAUAAGAGCAUACAGAAGUUAAUAACAAGUUAUUACCUGGAUCUAGAAGGCAUAGUUCGUGAUUUCGAAGAUUCCGUCUCACCUUCGACGUCUUCGUCUUGGUCGCCUCCUCUUCGCAGCUACUUUAGGUUUAGUGUAGAUGUUAGAAAUGAAGUAAGUUUAGGUUUAGGCAGAAUAGUUUAUAUUUGGGUUCAUGGGCCUAGGUUAAGGGCAGAUUUAAUUUUCUUUCCUUUUCUGCUUUGUUUGUUUUUUUUUCUUCAUAAAAGGAUACUUAAACUAAUUUCUAACAGAUUUUUGUAACUGUUAAAUUUGGUUAAGUUAUCAAAACUUUGUAUAAAUAUUAGUGGCUUCUAUUGAAGUUGUUAACCAAAAAUAUCAAUAAAAUUGUUAAGAGUUUUUUUCAUGUAUACCAAGAAUUCCAAGAAUUUCAAGAUGGUAUCAGAGCAUUGAAGCUCUGCUACGCAUCAUCAAGAUUCUCCGCUGCUCUUUCUGAUUGCUUUCUAGUUUUCCUAUUUUUUUUUUCUAACUACAAGGAAAAUGGCUAGCAGUACUAUCACUACUACCACUACCUCUGCCAACAGUUCCAUCUCUGACCCAAGUAGCCCAUAUUAUAUGCAUCCCAAUGAAAACCCUGGGAUUAGCAUAGUAGCCAUCAAGCUAAGCGGUUCAAACUAUCAUUCUUGGUCAAGAGCUGUCCUUAUGGCUUUGAAAUCUAAGAAUAAGAUUAAAUUUGUUGAUGGUGGGUUCCCAAACCAGAAGCAGAUGAUCCAACAUAUGAAUCUUGGGACAGGUGCAAUACACUUGUCCUCUCAUGGCUGGUGCACUCAUUAGAUGCAACCAUAGCAGAAAGCAUCUUCUGGAUUGAGA
rnacentral:lncRNA from 1 species